GUGCAAUUCAUUUAGUUCUGAAUGCAAAUUCGGACAAAUUUUGGAAAUUCCGACAUUAGGAUGCAUCCGAAUGUCCAAAGUGCAGAAAUGCUGAAUUUCAGAAUGCCGAACCGAACCAAAUUGUCGAAGUUCUGUAGUGCCGAAUUUUGAAAUGCCGAACCGAAUUGCCAAAGUGCCGAAUUUCGGAAGUGCUGAAGUGCUUCGGAUUUCUGAAAAGUGGCAAAACAGGAGAGGGUUGGUGUUAGUGGUUGAGGUAGGGUUAGGGUACGGUUAGUGGUUGGGGUAGAGGUAGGGUUAGUGGUAAAGUUAGGUUUAGGAGUAGGGUUAUUGGCUGGAGUAGGGUUAGGGUAUGCUUAGGUUUAGGGGUAGGGUUAGGGGUAAGGUUAGUGGUUGGGGUAGGGUUAGUGGUUGGAGUAGGGUUAGGGGUAGGGUUAAGGCUAAGGUUAAGGGUUGGGGUAGGGUUAGUGGCUGGAGUAGG